AAUGUGCCAGGGCCAAGUCUGUACUGAUUUUCAUGGUGAAUGGAUGACAUGCUCGCGUUCAUGUUCGACUUCCGAAGGCGCUUAAACGCCUUCCUUUCCUACGUACUAACCUCAGAGAGCCUGGGCUGCUUCAUCC